rnacentral:rRNA from 1 species
UAGAGUUUGAUCAUGGCUCAGGAUGAACGCUGGCGGCGUGCUUAACACAUGCAAGUCGAGCGGUAAGGCCCCUUCGGGGGUACACGAGCGGCGAACGGGUGAGUAACACGUGAGGAACCUGCCCCCCUCUCUGGGAUAACUCCGGGAAACCGGAGCUAAUACCGGAUACUCCGGCGAGAUCGCAUGGUCUUGUCGGGAAAGCUCCGGCGGAGGGGGAUGGCCUCGCGGCCCAUUAGCUAGUUGGUGGGGUAACGGCCUACCAAGGCUGCGAUGGGUAGCCGAGCUGAGAGGCUGAUCGGCCACACUGGGACUGAGACACGGCCCAGACUCCUACGGGAGGCAGCAGUGGGGAAUAUUGCGCAAUGGGCGAAAGCCUGACGCAGCAACGCCGCGUGCGGGAUGAAGGCCUUCGGGUUGUAAACCGCUUUCAGCAGGGACGAAACUGACGGUACCUGCAGAAGAAGCCCCGGCUAACUACGUGCCAGCCGCCGCGGUAAUUCA